rnacentral:sRNA from 2 species
GCCCCCCGGCCAGGCUGUGGGUUCAGUAACGCUUUCAGCUUUGAGCCAGUUAUUAAACCCCCUUUUGAUUGGUUAAAACGUCUUGCGGUCUGGCAACUGCAAAGGUCAAACAAGAAAUCAAAAG